rnacentral:rRNA from 1 species
CCUACGGGAGGCAGCAGUGGGGAAUAUUGCACAAUGGGCGAAAGCCUGAUGCAGCAACGCCGCGUGGAGGAUGAAGGCCUUCGGGUUGUAAAGCUCUGUCUUCUGGGACGAUAAUGACGGUACCAGAGGAGGAAGCCACGGCUAACUACGUGCCAGCAGCCGCGGUAAU